GCUCUCGUGGCCCAGUUGGUUAGUGCGUCGUACUUAUAAGCAGUGCAGGAGUAUAUGCGAAGGUCGAGGGUUUGAUCCCCUCCGGGAGCA
rnacentral:tRNA from 1 species